UACGAAGGGCGCUAGCGUUGCUCGGAAUCACUGGGCGUAAAGCGCACGUAGGCGGCUUUUUAAGUCAGGGGUGAAAUCCUGGAGCUCAACUCCAGAACUGCCUUUGAUACUGAGAAGCUUGAGUCCGGGAGAGGUGAGUGGAACUGCGAGUGUAGAGGUGAAAUUCGUAGAUAUUCGCAAGAACACCAGUGGCGAAGGCGGCUCACUGGCCCGGUACUGACGCUGAGGUGCGAAAGCGUGGGGAGCAAACAGG
rnacentral:rRNA from 1 species